rnacentral:rRNA from 1 species
UCGAGAAUCUUCGACAAUGGGCGCAAGCCUGACCGAGCGACGCCGCGUGGAGGACGAAGGCCUUCGGGUUGUAAACUCCUGUCGAGGGGGAGGAAGGGGUAACCUUGACCGAUCCCUGGAGGAAGCACGGGCUAAGUUCGUGCCAGCAGCCGCGGUAAGACGAACCGUGCGAACGUUAUUCGGAAUCACUGGGCUUAAAGCGCGUGUAGGCGGGCCGCCACGUCGGCUGCUGAAAUCCCCCGGCUCAACCGGGGAAGUGGCACCGAUACGAGCGGCCUGGAGGGGGGUAGGGGGCACUGGAACUUCCGGUGGAGCGGUGAAAUGCGUUGAGAUCGGAAGGAACGCCCGUGGCGAAAGCGAGUGCCUGGACCCUUACUGACGCUGAGACGCGAAAGCCAGGGGAGCGAACGG